UACGUAGGUGGCGAGCGUUAUCCGGAAUUAUUGGGCGUAAAGAGCGCGCAGGUGGUUGAUUAAGUCUGAUGUGAAAGCCCACGGCUUAACCGUGGAGGGUCAUUGGAAACUGGUCGACUUGAGUGCAGAAGAGGGAAGUGGAAUUCCAUGUGUAGCGGUGAAAUGCGUAGAGAUAUGGAGGAACACCAGUGGCGAAGGCGGCUUCCUGGUCCGUAACUGACACUGAGGCGCGAAAGCGUGGGGAGCAAACAGGAUUAGAUACCCGU
rnacentral:rRNA from 1 species